AAGUGUGGUUACCACAACACUUUGUAAAGUGAAAACUAGCUGCAGUUGGAGUGGGCUGGUUAGGCUGCAGAAGACUUAUUGCUUGCUUGUUUCUGGUGAAGACCUGGUCUGUGUCUCAAGACUUUUCUGAAUUUUAAGUGAACGAGUGAAAGGCAAGGUAGUAGAAAAUGCGAUGUUGGAGAUGUGAAUUAAUGUGCCACAUACUGAUGAAAAGUCUCUCAUAACAGCACAUUGAAUAACGAUAUAAGAAUUAUCCUGACCUUUGUGUGCUAUCAUCAGCUAGGUAGUUACUUCUAGACAACAAGUAUUAUUAAAUACAGCUAGGUUUGCUUUACUUAUAAGAAAUAUGUUCUACCUGAGACUUGCGUUUUUGUUUGCUAAGCUAUCUCAAAGUGAUUUAAAAAUAUUGCUUGGUUGUCGUUCUCCUAAAGAAGCGUCAGUGGUGUUCUGUACGUCUGUGUGCUCAUAGACCAACAGGCUGCGUUAAAUUUUCCAGGGAGACUUUAUAGUUGGAAAGUACAAACUCUUAAGGUUGAGACCUGCACUCUGCCAGAGGUCUUAUCAAGCCUAACUGCUGCUAUGUGAUAGCCAUUCCCUGAGGCAGGGAAUGUCUCAGUAGAAGUACAUAAUGUCAAAGCCUUUCCUCAGUUCUGGGUUAUGAGACGGAGGUUUACAAUCAAAUAAUUUUAAGAAAAAUGGUGUUUAAGCAAGAGAUUUCCCUGAAGCUUUUCUUUCAUCUAUUCAGGAUCAAAUGAUAAUAGAUAGAAACAGUAUUUAUAAUUUCAAAUAACAUAGUUAUUGUAGAAUUUCUGUAGACUUCUGUGAAAUAGUAAAUCAAUAGAGCUUUUAUAUCAUGGUGUGACUCCUCGUGGCCCUUCUUCUAGGUGUUAUUUACGUCUGCAUAAAGUGAAUUUAUGCACCGUUGAAAUUAUAUUGAUGAUGUUUUUAUUCUGUCCUUACAUAGGUAUAAAUAACACAUAAGAGCAAGGCAGCUGAGCAUGGUGUCCCUGACGUACUCCAGCAAUUGUACAAAGCACUGUUUAUUCCUUUGCUGUUGCUGCCUGGUGUUCAUGAUGGCCAGAUGUAGUUUGAAAAGCAAGAUCCACAAACUUCACUCCCUCUGCCCUUAGAGGUGUACCUCUUUUUAAGUAAGUGGAAGAUGGGUGAGCUGAGGCAGAUGUCAAGAAAAGUGUAUUUUACACCUCAAAAGCUGUCACAGCAG
rnacentral:lncRNA from 1 species